rnacentral:rRNA from 1 species
AGAGUUUGAUCCUGGCUCAGGAUGAACGCUAGCGGCAGGCUUAACACAUGCAAGUCGAGGGGUAACAUUGUGCUUGCACAGAUGACGACCGGCGCACGGGUGCGUAACGCGUAUAGAACCUACCUUUUACAGAGGAAUAGCCUUUAGAAAUGAAGAUUAAUGCCUCAUAGUAUUGUAGACUGGCAUCAGUUUAUAAUUAAAGAUUUAUCGGUAAAAGAUGGCUAUGCGUCCUAUUAGUUAGUUGGUAAGGUAACGGCUUACCAAGACAGCGAUAGGUAGGGGUCCUGAGAGGGAGAUCCCCCACACUGGUACUGAGACACGGACCAGACUCCUACGGGAGGCAGCAGUGAGGAAUAUUGGACAAUGGAGGAGACUCUGAUCCAGCCAUGCCGCGUGUAGGAAGAAUGCCCUAUGGGUUGUAAACUACUUUUAUACAGGAAGAAACACUGGUAUGUAUACCAGCUUGACGGUACUGUAAGAAUAAGGACCGGCUAACUCCGUGCCAGCAGCCGCGGUAAUACGGAGGGUCCGAGCGUUAUCCGGAAUCAUUGGGUUUAAAGGGUCCGCAGGCGGUCGAUUAAGUCAGAGGUGAAAUCCCAUAGCUCAACUAUGGAACUGCCUUUGAUACUGGUUGACUUGAGUCAUAUGGAAGUAGAUAGAAUGUGUAGUGUAGCGGUGAAAUGCAUAGAUAUUACACAGAAUACCGAUUGCGAAGGCAGUCUACUACGUAUGUACUGACGCUGAGGGACGAAAGCGUGG